ACACGGCCACAUUUGUCAGCACAGCAUCGUUAUCACGUGGAGUUUUAUACCCACAUUUACUAUUCAGUAAUUGCCCCGAAUAAGUGGGGGUGACGUUCCUGAUCCACUUGCAAUACCUGAAUUUCAGCCCUCCUACUUCAAAACUUUUCCCACUAAUAUUGUGAUGUGUAGAAAAUAUUUUCGAGAAGGGAAGUAAAAAUAAACAAAUGAGAUCACGUGCUUGCACAGGUGUGGACACCCCAGUACAGCUCGGGAUGUGGAUGUGUUCAGAACCAGUUGUUUUUUUAUUCUUCUUUUGAAAUAAUCUAUCUCGGUCUGGUUAUUUUAGAUCACAAAACCCUGGCAUUCGAUUAGGGGUUUGUUGAAUUUCUUUUGAAUCCACCGUAUGCUCUUCAUAUGUCGGCCAUUCGUCUCGGCACAUCGGCAGCAACGGCCUCAAAGUCGCUGUUGCAAAUAGGAAGGAGGCGCUGCUCGCAGGCAGGGAAUAUGAAAUGGAAAGUCAUUUCUGAGAGAAUCACUGCAGUAGAUUCAUUGGGAGUGGAAGGGGCGGAGGCUGGGAAAAAUAGGAGGGGAGGGUAUUGCGUGGGCGUGCGUGUGUGUGUGCUGAUCUUCUAUAGGUUUGCGUUUGUACUAUAAGAAGGAAAGGGAGUUCACCAGCUUAAUAAGAUAUGGCAGUACGAAAAGGCGCAGUGUAAAUAUAAAUGGAUAUUGUAAUCAUAGAUGAUGAUUAUUAUUAUUGUUAUGGACUAUUUUUAUGGGUCAUUGUUGAGAGGAAGUCAUAUUAAAUGAAGGUGUAAUGGUAAUCGGAUAUCAACCGAAACGCCAGUAUCUCAAAAGUUUUGUGCGUCGUGUAUGUCCCAGCUCUGCAAAGUCUCUUUAGAAGCCCACACAAUCUUCUAUUUAAUGGUCUCUGCACCUCACCAUGCUGUAUAUUUGAUUUAGCACCGUGUGGUGUUUGUGGACGUGUGCGUAUAUCAAUUGCCUUGGUGUGAUUAUAGACUUCCGGCUCGCAAGUGACAGAGAAUAUCCGUCCGAUAUGAAUCGACAGCUAUCUUAUUCAAGUCAGAUUUUUAUCCUUCAAUGAUAGAAGCUUUUUUUUCCUGAUCUGAAGAUUUAUGUUUCUGCCGUUUUUUUAUUUCUUCUUACGGUGCCGCCUUUCGCGCCGCCUAUAAAAGCUUUCCGCUAUUUGUCAAGUCAAUGUUUUCCAUAAGUGGUACAGACACAGAAUGGCAGGGCCAAGUUGAACCGUCAAUUGAGCUGACAUUGGAACCAUGAUAGAAGCGUGAACGGCGUAUUUGCAAAAUUAAAGACUUACAUUUCAUAUUCACCUCUCUUUUUUAUCCUGUGAAAUUUAAAAUGAUUAAAAUGAUAAAGAAUUUAAGAUUUCCUUUACUGAGGAUGACCAGUUGAAAUCAGCAACAGUGGUUCGAUCUUUGAAUUGCUUAUUUUUAUUUUUUAAUGGCAAGAUUUUUGGAAGCCAGACUGUCCUGAAGCGGCAACGUAACCCAGAUUUGCAUGUCAGAAUGUGCCGUAGUCUCUCAUUAAUUGAUGCUAACGCAGUGGUCAAGUCAUAAGUACAAGGCAUAUUUGUUAAAACAAAAGAAAAUGCUUCUAAAUUGUAAAUAUACAAACAGCCAAAUGAAAAUGUAUGAGGUAACGGAGCGUGCCUUCGUGUUCUCUGCGAUGAGGUCAUCUCAAAAUAGCUGAUGUCCAAACCAUCGUGAACUGAGGAUAACCUGUACUAAAUAAAAUAAUCCGAAAGAAACAUUAAUUUCAAAGGUUUGGUAUCACUUACAAAUGUCCUUUUGUACUUCUUUUUUUUUACCUGGAAAUAUCCUUAUACACGGUGUAAUCAACGAUGAUCACGUUAAAUUAAUCAGAAAGGCAGUUCUAGACAAUUUUCGUGUUUUUUUUUUUAAAGACGAAAAACAAGCGUUGCUUUAAAGCGUUUUCUUAAAAACAAAAGGAUUUUCGAAGUGACUUUUGAAAAGUGCCGUCAUGGUGUAUUUUCAUGGAUAACAUGAAAUUGUCACAGUGACCCCAAACUUUUGAGAAGUAUUGUAUGUUUACACUAUUCAGCUAUAUCAUCCAAAUUAAAUACAUAUUCAUCCAGUGAUUAAACUUAAAAGCAGUCAUCAUGGUUUGUUGUGAGUGACAUUGUUAAGAACUUUGGAAACCUUUGAAAAAUGGCUGUGUUAAAAGUGUGUUGCUAUUUGACAAGAAUCGAAUACGUCACACCAGACAUCAUACAGCUAAUGAUUUAAAGCUGGGCGCCGCGAGCGAGCACAAACAGUUACACAUCCCUCUGGCUCGAUGGCUUCCGUGUAAAAGGCAAAGGCGGAUUAAUGUCAGAUCAUCUGUUAUAGCUCUCAUGCGGCUAUUUUGUGGGAUCUUGGUGUCAAAUAGGCAACUGACAUGACAAAUAUCCAAAGUGAUUCACAUGGGAGAAAUAAAACUGGAAUUGUGUUGGCGUGUAAAUGCAGCCUUAGAAGAACAGCACACUUUAGGUCAGGUUGGGAUGCUGAUAGAUUAAUCAUCCGCCAUGCAUUUAUGAUUAAAAAAAAGAUGGUGUUGCUAAGUAGAUAAAUGUAUAAAUGUAAAUCAAAGUGCAUUCAUGGCUUUGCAUUGGAAUGGAUGCACUCUCGAGAGCAACUACGUUAGCAAACAUCCUUUGUCUCUGUGACUGGUUUGGUGGAGAAAAUGCAUCUUUUGUUAGCAAAAAAAAAAAAGCAAAGGUGGGGGCAGGCUAUCACACGGAUAGCCCCCGCCACCCCCCAUGGCCAGUUUCUGGCUCUGUAUAAAUGAACCACCUGUUCUACAUAAAUUCUCAUUAGCAUAAUCACACACGUAGCCUGCACUGUACAUUGAAAUGGAUUUGAAUGUCAGUGAAAUCCACCGCCCCCCACUACCCCCCACUGGUUUCCUGUUA